rnacentral:rRNA from 1 species
AUGUAAUGUAAUGCCUACAACGUUAACUCACUAUAUCCCAUUAUAAAUCUGUAUUUAAGAGCGCUUGGGAUAAAGUAGUAUUAGGAUGGGUGACCUCCUGAGAAGUCCUAAUGUUUUACAUG